rnacentral:rRNA from 1 species
AUACGGAGGGUGCAAGCGUUACUCGGAAUCACUGGGCGUAAAGGAUGCGUAGGCUGGAUGUCAAGUUGGAAGUGAAAUCCUAUGGCUUAACCAUAGAACUGCUUCCAAAACUGGCAACCUAGAGUGAGGGAGAGGCAGAUGGAAUUAGUGGUGUAGGGGUAAAAUCCGUAGAUAUCACUAGGAAUACCGAUUGCGAAGGCGAUCUGCUAGCACUCUACUGACGCUAAGGCAUGAAAGCGUGGGGAGCAAACAGGAUUAGAAACCCCGGUAGUCC